rnacentral:rRNA from 1 species
GCCUUAACACAUGCAAGUCGAGCGGUAGCACAGGGGAGCUUGCUCCCUGGGUGACGAGCGGCGGACGGGUGAGUAAUGUCUGGGAAACUGCCUGAUGGAGGGGGAUAACUACUGGAAACGGUAGCUAAUACCGCAUAACGUCGCAAGACCAAAGAGGGGGACCUUCGGGCCUCUUGCCAUCAGAUGUGCCCAGAUGGGAUUAGCUAGUAGGUGGGGUAAU